ACGCUGGCGGCAGGCCUAACACAUGCAAGUCGAGCGGUAGAGAGAAGCUUGCUUCUCUUGAGAGCGGCGGACGGGUGAGUAAUGCCUAGGAAUCUGCCUGGUAGUGGGGGAUAACGUUCGGAAACGGACGCUAAUACCGCACACGUCCUACGGGAGAAAGCAGGGGACCUUCGGGCCUUGCGCUAUCAGAUGAGCCUAGGUCGGAUUAGCUAGUUGGUGGGGUAAUGGCUCACCAAGGCGACGAUCCGUAACUGGUCUGAGAGGAUGAUCAGUCACACUGGAACUGAGACACGGUCCAGACUCCUACGGGAGGCAGCAGUGGGGAAUAUUGGACAAUGGGCGAAAGCCUGAUCCAGCCAUGCCGCGUGUGUGAAGAAGGUCUUCGGAUUGUAAAGCACUUUAAGUUGGGAGGAAGGGUUGUAGAUUAAUACUCUGCAAUUUUGACGUUACCGACAGAAUAAGCACCGGCUAACUCUGUGCCAGCAGCCGCGGUAAUACAGAGGGUGCAAGCGUUAAUCGGAAUUACUGGGCGUAAAGCGCGCGUAGGUGGUUAGUUAAGUUGGAUGUGAAAUCCCCGGGCUCAACCUGGGAACUGCAUUCAAAACUGACUGACUAGAGUAUGGUAGAGGGUGGUGGAAUUUCCUGUGUAGCGGUGAAAUGCGUAGAUAUAGGAAGGAACACCAGUGGCGAAGGCGACCACCUGGACUGAUACUGACACUGAGGUGCGAAAGCGUGGGGAGCAAACAG
rnacentral:rRNA from 1 species